UACGAAGGGGGCUAGCGUUGCUCGGAAUCACUGGGCGUAAAGCGCACGUAGGCGGAUCUUUAAGUCAGGGGUGAAAUCCUGGAGCUCAACUCCAGAACUGCCUUUGAUACUGGAGAGCUUGAGUCCGGGAGAGGUGAGUGGAACUCCGAGUGUAGAGGUGAAAUUCGUAGAUAUUCGGAAGAACACCAGUGGCGAAGGCGGCUCACUGGCCCGGUACUGACGCUGAGGUGCGAAAGCGUGGGGAGCAAACAGG
rnacentral:rRNA from 1 species